ensembl:lncRNA
AUCCUAGGUAUUUUGUUCAGCAUUGAGGAUAUUAAAAAAAAAAAGAAAGAAAAACAGUCCCAGUCUUCAAGGAUUUCAUAGUCUAAUGCAGAGAGACAAUAUAUACCACCAAGAUGCAUACAGGCUACACUGGAGAAAAUCUCAGAGGGAAGACACCAACAUUAAGAUGGCCCAGGAAAGGCUUUUUGCAGAAGAUAAUUCUAGUAAGCUCAUCUCUUAAUGACCGGGACCAAAGCCUUUUCCUGAGCACUGAUGAGGGGGCCACCUUUCAGAAACAACUCAUCACAUUCUUUGUUGAAACUCUGAUUUUCCAUCCCAAAGAAGAGGAUAAAGUGGUUGCCUACACUAAGGAGAGCAAGGUUUACUUAUCGACUGACUUAGGAAAGAAAUGGACCCUUCUUCAAGAACGAGUGACUAAGGACCAUGUUUUCUGGGCUGUAGCUGGAGUAGAUGGAGUAUCAGAUUUGGUUCAUAUGGAAACCCAGGAUCUCACUGGAGGUUUCCGGUAUGUCACCUGUCAGUCUCAGAAUUGCUCUGAUAGAACACCCACGAUUCCAUUUGCCAGCAGCAUUGACCACAAUUCCCUGACUGUGCAGGACGACUACAUAUUCUUUAAGGCGACCACAGCAAAUCGGACUAAAUACUAUGUAUCAUAUCGACGCAAUGAAUUUGUCCUGAUGAAACUACCAAAAUAUGCACUACCAAAGGACUUGCAGAUUAUCAGCACUGAUGAAAAUGAGGUAUUUGUGGCUGUCCAAGAAUGGUACCAAAUGGACACGUACAACCUUUACCAGUCAGACCCACAGGGCGUGUACUAUUCAAUUGUGCUUGAGAACGUUAGGAGCACGAAGCAACCAGAAGAAAACGUCCUGAUCGAUAUCCUGGAGGUCAGAGGUGUCAAAGGAGUCUUCCUGGCCAACCAAAAGAUUGAUGGAAAGGUCACAACACUGAUAACCUACAACAAAGGCCGUGACUGGGAUUAUCUGACGCCACCUGCCACUGACAUGAAUGGCAAACCCACCAACUGCAAACCUCCUGACUGCCAUCUUCACCUUCAUCUCCGAUGGGCAGACAAUCCAUACGUGUCAGGCACUGUCCAUACCAAGGACACAGCACCUGGUCUGAUCAUGGGAGCAGGUAACCUGGGCUCUCAGCUGGUGGAAUACAAAGAGGAAAUGUACAUCACAUCUGACUGUGGAAAUACUUGGCGUCAGGUCUUCGAAGAGGAACAUCACAUUCUGUACCUGGAUCAUGGUGGAGUGAUUGUGGCUAUCAAAGACACAUCCAUCCCUUUGAAAAUACUCAAGUUCAGCAUUGAUGAAGGUCACACCUGGAGCACACAUAAUUUCACAAGCACCUCAGUCUUCGUGGAUGGACUGCUAAGUGAGCCCGGGGAUGAGACUCUGGUCAUGACGGUCUUUGGUCACAUAAGUUUCCGUUCAGAUUGGGAACUGGUGAAGGUGGACUUCAGACCCUCUUUUCCCAGGCAGUGUACUGAGGAUGAUUAUGACUACUGGAACCUCACCAACUUACAGGGUAAUCGCUGUAUCAUGGGACAACAGAGGAGUUUCCGGAAAAGGAAGACCACAUCAUGGUGUAUCAAGGGGCAAAGCUUCACAUCAGUACUCACAUCUAGUGUGUGCAAAUGUUCAAGCUCAGAUUUUUUUUGUGAUUAUGGAUUUGAAAGAUCAGCAACUUCAAAAUCAGAAGCCAAAAAGUGUUUUGCGAAUUUCUGGUUUAAUCCUGACUCACCUCCUGAAGAUUGUGUGUUGGGGCAGGCAUAUACUAGCAGCCCAGGGUACCGGAAAGUGGUAUCUAAUGUCUGUGAAGGUGGUGUGGACCUGCAGCGGUACGUGCUUCAGCAUCAGUGCCCCCUGACAGCCCCCAGAGGGCUGCAAGUCAGCAUCAAAGGAGAGACUGUGGCCGUGAAGCCAGGAGAAGACAUCACGUUUGUGGUCAGACAGGAGCAGGGUGAUGUUCUAAAUACAAAGUACCUGGUGGAUCUUGGCGAUGGCUUUAAGGCUGUCUAUGUGAACCUCACUGUGACAGGGGAACCUAUCCGACACCGCUAUGAGAAUCCAGGAAUCUACCGGGUCUAUGUCAAAGCAGAAAAUGCUGCUGGGCAUGAGGAAGCUGUGCUGUUUGUUCAAGUGAAUUCUCCUCUACGGGCGCUACACCUGGAAGUAGUUCCUGUUAUUGGAGUAAACCAGGAAGUCAACCUCACUGCCAUUCUGCUGCCCAAGAACCCCAAUCUAACUGUCUUCUACUGGUGGAUAGGAAAUAACUUGCAGCCCCUUCUCUCUUUGGAUAAUUUUCUUGUCACGCGAUUUUCAGAAAUGGGUGAAGUCCGAGUAACAGUGCAAGCCUCCUGUGGGAAUUCCAUGCUCCAAGACUCCAAAGUCAUCAGGGUUUUAGAUCAAUUUCAAGUCCUGCCUCUGAAGUUUACUAAGCACUUGGAUAUAUACAAUCCCAACAUCCCUGAAUGGCGAGAAGACAUUGGCCUGGUCGUCACCCGCCUCCUUUCUGAGGAAACCAAUAUCCCUGAGGAAUCUCUGCUGACUGUGGUGAAACCAGGCCUGCCCACAACUGCUGACUUGCAUGUGCUCCUGCCAGCACCUAAACCAAAGAGGAAGAGGAGCAUACCAAGUGACAAGAGGAUCAUGGCCAUCAAACAAGCUUUGAAUGCCCACAAUAUCAGCUUUUUCCUAAGAGGAGGCUUCUGGGUACUUGUAACUCUACGUGACACAGAUUCAGAUUCUCAAAGGAUUGGAGGAGGAGGUGGCUAUUGGGCCCUCAUCGUUCUUUUCCUUAUCUGUCUUUUUGCAGUGGGAGCUUUCAUCCUCUACAAAUUUAAAAGGAAACUACCAGGCAGAACUGUUUAUGCCCAGAUGCACAAUGAAAAGGAACAGGAGAUGACCAGCCCAGUCAACCACAGCGAGGACACACAGAACAUCAUCCAGGGUAAUCACUCAGGCGUGGUUCUGAGCAUCAACUCCCGAGAGAUGCACAGCUACCUGGUUAGCUGAUGUUUGCAGCUGGGCACAAACAUGGAAGACUCUUCCCCAUCUUGUUUUGUCCCCCACCCCCACCCCAUCUCCACUCUGGGGAGGUCCCAGGAUGGCAAGUGUGGCUAUAACUGAUGUUGCAAAGGGAAUUCCCUGAAAAAGACACCCAGAACAGUGGUCAUUGCCCGAUGGUCCCCAUUUGAAGCAGAGGACACAUCUCACCUGAUAUUCCCUGGAUGGACUUCGAGCCUGGACCAACUCAAACUCAAACUAUCAGAGCAGAAAUACAGCCCAAGGCACUCCCCAGCCUCCCUUCUCCUUGUGUCCAUUCCCCUCCACUGACAUUUAUGUCUUUGUUCUGACAUCUUUUAUGCCUCAUGACCCUUUUCAUUGGCGGGUAGUCUCGAAGACCUGAUUGGAAAUGCCUAGCAGCAGAAAAAAGGACCAGAAGGGGGCCUUGCUAAGAGUAGUGAACCCCCUCUUCCCCCUGCUAGUUUGUCAUUCAGAGUCCCUAAGGAAAGAACAUUCCUGAGUCCUCCUGCUCCCCAGGGGAACACACCCACCUUGGCUAGCUGCUUCUUCCUCAACUUGAUCCAGAAGUGGUGAACUUCCCUAAACUACUGGGAUUUCUUGUUCUUAAAAAGGGAAAUAAACCCCAGUAGAAAUCCUAACA